UCACCAACCUGCCCCUAACCUUAUCCCUUCACUAUCUCCCCACUGCUCCCUAUUCCAUGGUGGCUACAAGCCCACAACACACACACACACACACACUCUCUCUCUCUCUACCUCCUUAGGCCGCCCAUCCUCUUCGUCCCCAUCACCGGAGCGAGGUAUCGUAGGCUCGCACUCUCCCCAAUCUUCUCGGCCCCUCCUCGUCGAGUCUGUCGCCGAAGUGCCCAAGGAUCCGCUCGAGCUCGGCAUGGUCGCUGGGCGCGGGACUCAUCUCCAUCAGAUUGGGGGCAGUGGCAAUCGUGCGUCGCAACCUCCGUGCCCGGUGCCUCCAUCUCCAUCUCGCUCGUCGGUGGCUGGUCCCUGCAAGUGCAAGCCGGCGCCAUUAGACGAUCUAUUCCCCACUUCAGCUUUCAUAUCUGCUUGUUUCUGAUGCUUACAAGAAAUGGAUUUUGAAGACCAUCUAACUAUCUAAGAGUCAUGGAAUUCGUUCCAUCCUACAUUUUUGGGACUCUGGAAUAAACACAAAGAUGGGAAUGGGGAUGCAUACCUGCCUGCCAUACACAUUGAGAGGUUUUCAAUACUCAUCCCGAAGCUUUUCAGCGUUGUACAGAAGAAGUGAUUGACAGGUUUACUUCAUGAUAUUCUUGGCUUUUGUUUUGGCCAAAAUGAUCAGGCAGGUGCGUUGCCUGAUGAGUUCGUCGGUGCCUACGUCAGCGGCCGCGGAAGGGGGCGAUGGCCAAAACUAGCUGGGCGGCGAAGGCGCAACAAUGGCUUGCGGCGCCGACGUCUCACUGCAGUGUCUGUCUGAACAGCGACAUCAAAGAAAGACACUGAGAUUAACUGGGAUAGAACCGGCCACAUAUUGCGCACAAGAGGAUAGUCUGCACCUGCUUUCGCGAGAAGCUCUUCGGCGCGGUCGUUGUCCGCGCUGCACGGCUGCGAUGGCGCAGGACAGGCUCUGCGGCUGCGACAUACGUCCGAGUGGGCAAGGGUAGGAAGAUCCAUCUGAUUCCCGUAAGUUUAGCCACUUGUUGUUAGGCAGACGUGUUUAAUUACCGUUAAUUGUGGCUAAUUUUCUGUAGUUUAGCAUUUGUUGUUAGGACACGAACAGAAUUUGUGGAACUGUUCUGAUCUUGCGCGAGCGUGGGUCGGUGGGUCCUGCAGAGUUUUCGUCC